UGGGGAAUUUUGGACAAUGGGGGAAACCCUGAUCCAGCCAUCCCGCGUGUGCGAUGAAGGCCUUCGGGUUGUAAAGCACUUUUGGCAGGAAAGAAACGUCAUGGGUUAAUACCCCGUGAAACUGACGGUACCUGCAGAAUAAGCACCGGCUAACUACGUGCCAGCAGCCGCGGCAAUACGUAGGGUGCAAGCGUUAAUCGGAAUUACUGGGCGUAAAGCGUGCGCAGGCGGUUCGGAAAGAAAGAUGUGAAAUCCCAGAGCUCAACUUUGGAACUGCAUUUUUAACUACCGGGCUAGAGUGUGUCAGAGGGAGGUGGAAUUCCGCGUGUAGCAGUGAAAUGCGUAGAUAUGCGGAGGAACACCGAUGGCGAAGGCAGCCUCCUUGGAUAACACUGACGCUCAUGCACGAAAGCGUGGGGAGCAAACAGG
rnacentral:rRNA from 1 species